GAUGAACGCUGGCGGCGUGCCUAAUACAUGCAAGUCGAGCGAACGGACGAGAAGCUUGCUUCUCUGAUGUUAGCGGCGGACGGGCGAGUAACACGUGGAUAACCUACCUAUAAGACUGGGAUAACUUCGGGAAACCGGAGCUAAUACCGGAUAAUAUUUUGAACCGCAUGGUUCAAAAGUGAAAGACGGUCUUGCUGUCACUUAUAGAUGGAUCCGCGCUGCAUUAGCUAGUUGGUAAGGUAACGGCUUACCAAGGCAACAAUGCAUAGCCGACCUGAGAGGGUGAUCGGCCACACUGGAACUGAGACACGGUCCAGACUCCUACGGGAGGCAGCAGUAGGGAAUCUUCCGCAAUGGGCGAAAGCCUGACGGAGCAACGCCGCGUGAGUGAUGAAGGUCUUCGGAUCGUAAAACUCUGUUAUUAGGGAAGAACAUAUGUGUAAGUAACUGUGCACAUCUUGACGGUACCUAAUCAGAAAGCCACGGCUAACUACGUG
rnacentral:rRNA from 1 species